rnacentral:piRNA from 1 species
UUUUUCAGCUCUUUUGACUUU